AUACGGAGGAUGCGAGCGUUAUCCUGAUUUAUUGGGUUUAAAGGGUGCGUAGGCUGUGCGUUAAGUCAGGGGUGAAAUGCCGUCGCUCAACGACGGAGCUGCCCUUGAUACUGGCGUGCUGGAGUACGGAUGCCGUUGGAGGAAUGAGUGGUGUAGCGGUGAAAUGCUUAGAUAUCACUCAGAACACCGAUUGCGAAGGCAUCUGACGAAUCCGUCACUGACGCUGAGGCACGAAAGCGUGGGGAUAGAACAGGAUUAGAUACCCUGGUAUUCCACGCCGUAAACGAUGAUGACUAACCGUCGGCGAUAGACAGCCGGUGGCCAAGCGAAAGCGAUAAGUCAUCCACCUGGGGAGUACGUCGGCAACGAUGAAACUCAAAGGAAUUGACGGGG
rnacentral:rRNA from 1 species